rnacentral:tRNA from 1 species
GCGGGUAUGGUAUAGUGGUUGUGCCCUAGCCUUCCAAGCUAGAGAGACGAGUUCGAUCCUCGUUACCCGCU